rnacentral:rRNA from 1 species
AUUGAACGCUGGCGGCAGGCUUAACACAUGCAAGUCGAGCGGGGUGAUGGUGCUUGCACUAUCACUUAGCGGCGGACGGGUGAGUAAUGCUUAGGAAUCUGCCUAUUAGUGGGGGACAACAUCUCGAAAGGGAUGCUAAUACCGCAUACGUCCUACGGGAGAAAGCAGGGGAUCACUUGUGACCUUGCGCUAAUAGAUGAGCCUAAGUCGGAUUAGCUAGUGGGGGGGGUAAAGGCCUACCAAGGCGACGAUCUGUAGCGGGUCUGAGAGGAUGAUCCGCCACACUGGGACUGAGACACGGCCCAGACUCCUACGGGAGGCAGCAGUGGGGAAUAUUGGACAAUGGGGGGAACCCUAAUCCAGCCAUGCCGCGUGUGUGAAGAAGGCCUUAUGGUUGUAAAGCACUUUAAGCGAGGAGGAGGCUCUUUUGGUUAAUACCCAAGAUGAGUGGACGUUACUCGCAGAAUAAGCACCGGCUAACUCUGUGCCAGCCGCCGCCGUAA